CGUCUAUAUACGUAUAGCAUAUCAAUAAGCGGAGGAAAAGAAACUAACAAGGAUUCCCUUAGUAACGGCGAGUGAAGCGGGAAGAGCUCAAAUUUGAAAUCUUCAAGGUUCUACCUUGACGAAUUGUAGUUUAAAGAAGUGUUUUCUGUUAGAGGAGUAGCAAAAGUUCCUUUGGAAUAGGGACAUCAUAGAGGGUGAGAAUCCCGUAUUUGGUCAUUCUUUCUAGCUUUGUGAUACUACUUUCAAAGAGUCGGAUUGUUUGGGAAUGCAGUCCAAAAUGGGUGGUAAAUUUCAUCUAAAGCUAAAUAUUGGCGAGAGACCGAUAGCGAACAAGUACCGUGAGGGAAAGAUGAAAAGAACUUUGAAAAGAGAGUUAAACAGUACGUGAAAUUGUCAAAAGGGAAGCGUUUGACACCAGUGUUGUUUUUCCGAAAAUCAAUUUAAGAACUGGUUGAUUUUGUAGUAGUAUUGACCUUAUCAGCUUCUUCACUCUUUUUCGCUGUCUGUGCUAAUGCACUUUUCGGUUAACAAGUCAACAUCAAUUUCUUUUGUUGUAAAAGGGUAUUGGAAGGUGGCUUUCUUUUCGGAGAAAGUGUUUAUAGCCUUUAUACCUCUACAAUCGGAGAGAUUGAGGUCUGCAGCGUAGAUCCUUCGGGGUUAGAUACACUUGUGCUAAGUUAUAGCCUGUUCAUAGACAACUUGUUGACUAUAGCUUCGUCAUGUAGCUUACUCGCUUGUGCUAUUUUACCUACGCUUAGGAUGUUGAGUCAUCACACAUCUCU
rnacentral:rRNA from 1 species